UGAUUUGUCAAAAGAAUUACAUCACAAAAGGAGCUAAGUAAUAUGAUUCUAAAACAAAAUACCCUAAAACAAAAAUUGCACCAUAUAUCCAACAAAUUUAAAUAAAACAGAGACUCAAAAAGAGUCCAUCAAGAAACCUCCCCUGAAAAUACUACAAAAACCUUGCAUAUCUGAAUUAUGAAGGACAAAAGUCUCGCGUAGUAAAACUAUGGACUCUAAAUGAAUUUAAAUACUUUACAAUAGUCUCUAACAUCGAAAACACAUUGACAAAUUUCACCAAAUUGAAAAUGCAUUUACGUCGCUUGGUUACUGUUAUAGCUUUUAUAGGUUUAUAGAAGGGGAGGUGAUUUUCUCAAACUCUUUUUAGCUUCUUACACACUCCUAUUUAAUUCUGACCAUUAAUUCUGUUUGAUUUAUUCAAUUAGAUGACCAUAAAUAAAGAUAUGUACGUGAAAAGCAAUAAAUUGUGUGUGAAAAAAUCACUUCCCUGAUAGAAAAACUCUAAGGCAGGCAAGAUGAUGGAAUUAGUGAUUACCUACCGAUGAGAUCAAUUCCUUUGUUACCCUAAUCAAAUCCACCACAAAUAGACGAUCAAAUAAUGAGAUCUGAUUGAAACAAAAACAAAAAUAAAAAGUAAAAAUAAAAAAAAUAAAAAAACCAAACAAUUAAACAACAAAAACUUCCAAAAAAUGAAACUAACAGAAAUUGAAAGCAAACAAAUCUACCAAUUAAGACUAGCAAAACGCAUGGAUGAGGUUAAAUUUUCAUAACAUGCACAGAGAUUCGAUUUCAUCCUCAAUCGAGAUAACGAGUGGAAGAUUGAAAGUACAUAAACAAAAGACAAAUAGAAAAUAAUAUUAGUGGGAAAAGGUCAGUGAGAGGGCUCCUUGGACCUCAGAACACCUCCCCAAGGGAUUGGCACUUUGGAUGUGUAGUUGGGCUCUUACUUGUUGAUGUGCUACAAGAAGAGAACAAAGUUAGUUUUGAAAGGUACCUUUAUGGGGCUUAGGUGUAGGCCUUGAUAUUCACAAUCAAAACUAACUAAGUGUUAGGCGUGCCACUGCAACCUCAGUAUAGCAGAUGUAGAACAAUUGUGUUUUAAGUUGAUUACUUGCGCCCCAAGUUAUUCCAACUUCUUGUUAUCAAAGGAUUGUUGUGGAUGAGUUAAGUCUGUUGGAGAACAAUUUAGAAAUAAAUAAAAAUAACAGAACUCGAAAUUGUAGAAUAUUUAUUAAACAAAAUACUUGCUGUGCAAAAUGAAAUACAGAACUAAAUAUAAGAAUAUCAAUGGUACUAACUUGAUUACAGAAGGUAGAGGCUAGCGUAAUAGCUAUGUCCUUCGAACAGUAUUUCCGUCCCACUCUUGUGCUUGUGGUUCAACAACGUCUGCUUGACCAGGAUUCAACUACCUAAUUCUACAACCCGUACUGGAUUAUAGAAUUCUAGCGAAUUUGCUUUGUGUGUUUACUCUCUGGAAAUUUCGUACAGAAGCAAGGAGGAAGGAAAUAAAAGAUGCCUGGAAUAGAACUGAGGACUCCAGUUAUAUAGGCUCUUUCAUACCUUUUCAAAUACAUUUUGGAUGUAUCUGAAGCUAUACAACUCUUUCCAAAGAGUUGUGUCUAUUAAUCAAAAUGUUUUUAAUUAAUUUUAAUUAAAAACUUAAUUCGAAAAUUAAAACUAAUUGAUCAGAUUAAUUUUAAUUAUUAGGCCCCAAGUGCCCAAGGCCCAAGGCCCUUGUCUUGAUUAAUUAAUAUUAAUUAAUAUUAAUAUUAUGGUAUAGUCAUCAAGCCCAAUCCACACAAUUGGUGGCCCAAGCCUCAAUUCCCAUUCCAAGUGGUCCAACACUUAACUAAUAUUGUAGAGGACAAAACAUAUAUAAAGGUCAUUGGGAAUCUUGUUUUCUCCAAUGUGGGACAAGAGUCUCAAAACUCUAACAAAGUCCACAUUAAGUUCUUUUUCUUGCCUUCUAAACAAGGACUUUUAAUUCAUAGUCUUGUAUGUUCAGAUGAAGGGAGUCCAGAGCCCCUUAAGUCAUUUGUUUAGUUCCAAGUUGGUUUUAAAUGAAAGCAUAUCCAUUAAAGUGACUAGAUCCAGAUACAAAUGAGAUUCUUAAGGUAGAAAACAAAUGGAAAUGAUUUGAAUACAUGCUGGAAAGUGCAUUAAGUAAUAGAUCUACUAAUUUAGAAAAUAAACAAAGAGGUUCAGGCAAGAUUUCACCUUGUCUGGCAAUGUUGAACUUCUUGUAGUUUAUUCUCUUUGUAUUUAUAAAAGUUAUAUGCUUGAAAAGGGAUGGAUGGUACACAAGUUUACACGAGGGAAUCGAUACUAUGAUGCUAUAAGGUAGCAGAGCUUUAAACGAGAGAAAGAUAGGCUUUCUAAGGAAAACUAUUACUAAAAGAUUUGAGAUCUGGGCUGAUUACAAUUUUUGGAUGCAAAUAUGGCUUGAGAAUAGAGUUUGUAAGUUUAUUUGAUUGGUUGAGUGUUCUUUCCCCCGUUGUCUCUUCUUCCUUUUAUAGCCGACUGUUGUAGCUUUUGCUCUUACUCGAAAGCAUUUGAAAGGUAGUGAGUCAUCACACUUUUUACUAGCAAUGCCACUGGAAAGUGCUUUUUGGUAGGUUAGCUCCCAUCACUUGUUACUUCCCCAAUGGACACAUGGCUUGUUCCUUGACUAAGAAGGCAUCAAUUUAUAUUUGGGCUUGAUGUUGGGCUUCGGGCAAGUCUCUUUUAAUUGACACCCUUGGCUUUAUUUUCUUUAAGCCCAAUAUUCAAAUAUUAACCCAAGCAGUGUCCCCUUUAAUUAUUGUUGAGUCUACAACCCAAGAUGCUAAUAAUGAUUAAACAACCGUCGCAUGCCUUUACUUGGGACUUGCACCAUUUAAGACAGCCAUUGUUAACUAAACCUUUGCACUAACCUACUAAUUUCAACGUUAAUUAACUGUUCACUAUAUAACCCUCACUUAAACCCUUUGGCUAAAUACCUUAGCAACUUCAAACCUUCGAAUUCAUAGAACUUCCCAAAAUUCUUAGAGCCUUCAGAAUUUUUGGAAAUUUCUCUCGUUCUUCAAUUCUUGAUUUUCUAAUCCCAAUUUCUUUUUCAAAAUCCAAUGGCACCAAAGACUACUAAAACCCAAUUUUCUUACAAGACUGGUGAGGGGUUUGUCACCAUUCACCGUCUGCUCAACGGCCUUCAUCGCCCUUGGGUUGGCCUGCAGACCUCUCUUUUCUUUGAGGAAAAAGGUGUGCAUUCUCUGGGACCUGCAUGGACUACCUAGGUACCAAUUGCCGUGGAGAGUAACAUUCCCAAGGCAAAGUGGUUCACCCCGAACCCAUUUUCGACUAAGGCUGGCAUUUCUUCCUCCAAAUGGUCUACCCAUCGACGAUGAUUCCCCUUGAUGAAUGAUGAAGUUUGGGUACAGUCGGUAAACGAGCUCGAACCUAUCUUCAAGCAAAAAUGGAUGAACAACAGUAUCUACGAGUUGAUAAUGCUCUUAAAGACUACUGUUAUUGCCAAGCCCAAGCUACUGAUAACUACGCCCCCCUUCUGGAACUCGGGCACCAACACCUUCGACAUCAGGAUGUGCCUCAUGUCUCCUACCAUCCUCGAUAUGGCCCAAGUCUUUGGGUUAAGGACUUCGGGCAGAGUUAUAGACGUUACCCACGACUGGUCUCUUUCUUCCUGCUCGAUUGCAUAGAGCUCAGGUAGCUCUGAUCCAUUCUUUCAAAUGGAGUAUAACUCCUCAACCUUCAAGAGCAACGAGACCUUAUUUGCAGGCUUCAUCCCGUUUGCUGAGAAGAAUUUUAGUUUCUCCUCUUCUACUGCUAACAAAGAUCAAGAGCACAUGUAUUUCCUCCUCUACUGGCUCAACAAACACGUCUUCCCCAACAAAUCUAAAUGAGUGACAGUUGAAUGGAUCCUUCUGGUGAAAACUCUUGACAAUUUCAAUGACAUGGCCACAGGCCUUUUCUUUCUCUCCCAUCUCUACCAUCUUCUAUUUAAGAUGACUCGGGGAUAACCAUUUGAAACCAAUCUUAAUGUGCAAACCUGGAUGGCCCAAUUAUGGCUUUAAUGGUAUUUCCCCGAGCAUCGAGCUCCCAAUCUAGAAUUCCCCGAGGAUGUUGCUCAUGCCCGUAUUCUGGUUGAAGCAUCUCCCACCAAUCACUCUACAUUCGCUUAUCUCUAUUUCUUCAGAGUCUGCAGAACUCGGGCAUACUUGGAUUGGGGAGCUUAAGUUCUAAGAAGAUACCUUUGGUUCUCUGACCAAGCCUUUCAAGAUGCAUUUGGGGAAGAUGCCACCCCCUUUUGCAAAGAGAGGUUCAUAAGUUGUAUCCAAUCAAAUGACAUAACUUAGGGAGUAAGAGGCGACCACUACGAGCAUGGGCUAAAAGUUUAUCACCCCAACUUCUGUGCUAGACAGUUGGGGUUUAGACAAGCCAUCCUCGUGCCAUUCUUCCACUUUGUACAUUGUGCACCUUAUAUCAUUUUCGUUCACCACAAGAAGUCACAUUCCGAGCUGCCUGAUGUAGUCUCGAGGUACUGAGCAAGGUUGCCCGCAAACCUAUGGCUCUUAAUUUUGAAUGCUCCUCAUCAUUCUCUUCUUGGUAGGAGGCAAAGUGGUUCAAGAAGUACAGCGGAGAUAUCAAGGAAUUGCCCGACCGUUUCUUCAAGCAACUCACAAUCAAAUCCUAUCCAAAGCCAAGUGAACUUGAAGAUUGGAAGAAGAUGAUUCAUCAUAAGACCCAACUACUUUUAAAAGGUAUCAUUUAUUUCCUUAACUUGUACUUAUCUUUAUUUUACAACUUGCCUUCCAUUAACCUUUUUCUUACUCCUUUUAACCUUUGUAGCCCAAAGUAACACUGAAACAAUUGACGUCGGGCUUGAUAAAGAGAUUGGAGACACCUUUGUCCUCCAAGAGGUGGCAGCUGAGGCUACGAGGCAAUGUGAUGGGGUGGGCAGAGAUAUUUCUAAGUUGUUUGAAGACUCAGAAGAUGAGGUUGAGCAUUCAUUGGAGGUUCGGGUUACCAGGCAGACGAGGGUAACAGUUAUGGAAACUUCAGAGCCUGAAUCAAAAGAGCGUCAUCGAGCUCAGCUCUCCAUACCGGGUCCGCGGGCAACCCUCACCAAGAAAAUUACUAGAGCUCAGACUUCCAAAGCACCUAAAUCUUCCAAGUCCUCCACUGCUCCUCAAGUUGAAGCGGGUAGAAAAAAAAACGGAAGUGAUCCAGUAAGUUAGCUUCAUCUUAAUUUUCCUUAAUUGAAAUCCUUACUCCCUGAGCUAACAACUUCUUCUCUCUCAAAACUAGGGCCCCAAGACAUAUAAAAGCCUAAUUAUGUCUCAAGGGGAGAACCACUGGGUGCGGAGAUGCACCAGAAGGCCAAAUAUCUUCUUGAUUCCACCAUUGAGGAACUGGAGGUAUGGCUUGCAUCUUAAGUACCCUUUCUCUUCAUCAUUAUAUAUAUUUUUUAAUUAACUAUUUACCCGUGAUAGGAGCAUAUUUAUGCGCCUUAGUUAGCUAGUUCUUAUGCAUUUCCAUGGUGUUUUCUUAGUUAAAG
rnacentral:lncRNA from 1 species